rnacentral:pre_miRNA from 1 species
UGUGUACUCCCUCCGUCCGAAAAUACUUGUCAUCAAAAUGGAUAAAAAGAGAUGUAUCUAGAACUAAAAUACAUCUAGAUACAUCCCUUUUUAUUCAUCUUGAUGACAAGUAUUUCCGGACGGAGGGAGUACUUG